rnacentral:tRNA from 1 species
GGGGUAUAGCUCAGCUGGGAGAGCAUCUGCCUUACAAGCAGAGGGUCACAGGUUCGAGCCCUGUUGUCCCC